CCGCACAAGCGGUGGAGCAUGUGGUUUAAUUCGAUGCAACGCGAAGAACCUUACCUGGUCUUGACAUCCACAGAACUUAGCAGAGAUGCUUUGGUGCCUUCGGGAACUGUGAGACAGGUGCUGCAUGGCUGUCGUCAGCUCGUGUUGUGAAAUGUUGGGUUAAGUCCCGCAACGAGCGCAACCCUUAUCCUUUGUUGCCAGCGGUCGGCCGGGAACUCAAAGGAGACUGCCAGUGAUAAACUGGAGGAAGGUGGGGAUGACGUCAAGUCAUCAUGSCCUUACGACC
rnacentral:rRNA from 1 species